rnacentral:lncRNA from 1 species
CAAUUUGAGCCUUAUGCUAUGGGAGCCACUAUGAAGAUCCUAAGAGUGGAGUCAAUCCAGGGGAAGAAAACUGAGAGCUGGACCUGGGCAGUAUCAUUUGAGCCCAGGGUCAAGCGAUCACUGAACUUAGAGCUACUCUAGACCUCUUCAGCUAACAUGAUCCAAUGAGGUUUCACCAUGUUGCCCAGGCUGGUCUCAAAUUCCUGGACUCAAGCAAUCCACCCACCUUGACCUCCAAAAGUGUUGGGAUUACAGGCAUGAGCCACCGCGCCCAGCCUGAGACAAGGUCUUGCUCUGUCACCUAGGCUGGAGUGCAGUGGCAUGAUCAUAGCUCACUGCAGCCUUUAUCUCUUGGGUUCAAGCAAUACUCC